UACGGAGGGUGCAAGCGUUGCUCGGAAUUAUUGGGCGUAAAGGGUAGGUAGGUGGUCUUAUUUGUCUGGGGUGAAAGCCUUGAGCUUAACUCGAGAAGUGCCCCAGAAACGGUGAGACUAGAGUCCUGGAGAGGGUCGUGGAAUUCCCGGUGUAGCGGUGAAAUGCGUAGAUAUUGGGAAGAACACCUGAGGCGAAGGCGGGUUGCUGGGCCGACACUGACGCUGAGGCGCGAAAGCCAGGGGAGCAAACGGG
rnacentral:rRNA from 1 species